CGUUCCCCGUUCUCUAGCUUAGCUUGUGGUAUGAACCCCAAAACUGGUUUCGAUUCGCCGCAGCCGUUGACCGUUUUGCGAUUAUCAUAUCUUGCUCAGUCGGCUCUUUUUUUUCCGCAGCCGCUAUACAUUUUUAGCGUUAAUUAACUCUCCUCGAGACCUCUUGCCUCGGUCAUGAUCGAUAUCAAACGGAUAGAAAUCCUAUUAAAGGAUGUACGAAUGGGUGGUACCGGGGUAAGUGGGAAAUAAAUCUCGCACGCAAGAGUUAAUUUCAGGCUACCCGCUGGGAGAGAUCUGUAAGCGUAAACGGUGAAGCCCAGAAGGUUCUUGUAGGCUUUGGCGAAUUGCCCUACGCAAAAUGUUUCUUUUCUUUUUCUGCAGACGUAGGUUCCUUCCGCAAGAGAUAUCCGAAGGCGCAGGGGGUUGGGAAUGAUUGGGAACUUUGUUGCGAUAGCAAUUAUCGAUCAAAGUGGCAGCCGAUACACGAUACGCAACUAGGCUGUAAUAAAGUAUUCCCCACCCCCGCUCCCAGUGUUGAGGUUUCUUCCCUCUGCUGGGUGAGUGAGUGUGCGUGUAUUUUAGCAUGACUCAAGUCGAGUAACCGUAGGAUUGAGCACAAGUUGCGGUUUUACGGUGACUCGAUACCGGGCAAACACAGAAUCGUGAGAAGGGAAUUAUUCAGUUGUUUGUGCGCGAAUUUGCGAUUGUUUUUAUAAGACGCAAAAGAAUAUGAAAGCUAGUCAGUUUUGACUUAGUCAAGUGUGGAAUAGUUAUCUACCUAGUAAUUAGCUAUUGAUCACGACACCAGUUAUUGAAAUCAUUUGUUUUUACAAACAUAACGUGAGAUAUAAAAGUAUUUACCAAAAAUUAGUGAUUUAAUCAGUUUAUUUUGUUGUUGUUUAUUUAACCUUAACAACCUAAAACCGGAACAAGAUUCUGUAGAGCUUCUGGUUCUGGAGCUUAACACUUUGUAUUUAUUAAUGCGGACUUCUAUUUCAGUAAGGGUGCACCAAUCUCAAAGGGAACAAUAUGAAACGACUGGAUAGAUAAAUUAAAAAUAGGCGGACCAAGGUGACCGCCUUGCGGGAUACCGGUAGGUGUGCUUAAUGUGCUUAUUUUAACGAAGGUGGAGCGAUGAGUGAAAAAGGACUGAAACCAACUAUAUAUUCGCGCAGGUAAGUCCCAGGCUCGAAUGACGAGGUUUGCUCGCGGAAUGCUGUUGUACUAAUUUCAAAAGUAUUAUCGCCUUAGACCGUAUGUAUCGCAAUGAUGGAAUGUCUAGUGAAAGUGUCAACCUACUGGUUCUGUGGAGUAUGUAAGGCAGUUUGAUCUGCGAAAAUUCCAAGCAAUCUCGCGAUAUUUUGUUGCAGAUUGAACAAAAAAACGAAAAGGAUUUAUGGUAUUGUUUAACGAGACUUCAUUCAGGGCUUUGUAAAAGAAUUUUUGUUCAACAAUUUCCGCGAAAUUCUUGAAAACUUCUCUUCAAACAUCAAGGAUCCUAUUAAUUUCAAACAAUAUCUACAAAACUUAAAAAAGACGGCGCUUAUGGUUGAGUGGCAAAUGUGGCCACUUCCACCCCAAUGAGUCUGCGUUCAAUCCCAGCCGAGGUCGUUAAGAUUUUCUGAGGUGAACCCGUCCUGGUACCAAUCCAUGCAUUGAAGGGCCGUCAUCUGGAGUCCAGAUAGUGAAGUCACUUUUCUGUUUAAACUUCCAACAAAGUUUAAAGUGGAAUUCAGAAUUAAGUUUUGGAAUUUCUUGGAAAUGUAGGGUACCCUAUCAACUUAAGGGAGUACCGGAGUGGGAAAUGAGCAUAAAAAGUAAUAAAAUAAACCAGCAUCACUUGACACGUUGCGCAACAUACUAAAUGUUGUAGAGUAUGUCGUGAGUAAAAAGAGCAAGAAUGCAACAAGUAUAACACAUUUUUAUCAGUGAUAUAGAUACCCAUGAAUAGUCUUCUUUCGUAAAUGCAAUAUGCUCGAUAACAUAGUUUCAUUCAUCAGAUCUGAUUAGCGUUAUUUUAUAAUGUUUCUAUACAACAAAUCAGUAAAAUACCUAUUGCAAAGUUUCAACUAUUCAGAAAUACCCCAGCAUGCUUCUGAUUUUAUAAAAUAUGAAUUGAAUUGCUUGCAAAAAGUAUAUCGUUAUGUUAUUUAGGAAUCAAUAUUGUGAUGAUGGCGCCCUAUCAGUGCUGGCUCUUAGGUAAACCACUGGUUAUACAAACCGAUUAUUAUAUGUAUGCAACGAUCAGGCUAGAUUCAUCGAUUUUGUAGAGUCGCUUCAUUAUACAAGAUUCAUCUGCUACAUAGUAUAUUAUAACAGAACCCAAAUAAUCCGCCAAUGUAUGAACUACUCUAGUAGCGAUUCUAAGUAGAUCAUGAUUGCUAGCAGGAAAAACAAUUAGGUAUGGUGUAUCGUUCAGAUAAAUAGUUGAUCUACCAAAUUUGGAAUAAUCACAGAGAUAAAGCAAAGUUGUGGAACUCCAAUCUUCUCCUGACAAUCCUAUUGGUACUAAAAACACAUACCGAUCUCCCCUCGUGGCAAUAUGAGACCAUUUUUCCUUGAUACCAUCAGACCAGGAAGCGUACACUCUUCGUUUUAGCACCCAAACGUUAUCUAAGUGUCCUAGUAAGUAUAUUGAUACACUGCCUAUAAUCGCAAGUAAGUCCCAUGUAGAUAGGGGAUCUCGUAAAACAUGGGACUGUCUUGCGAUUAUAGGC